rnacentral:misc_RNA from 1 species
GCAAGAAAACCGACCAAAGUUCUUACAAUCAUAAUCCUUGUAAUAAUACAAUAGUGAUGUUUAGAUUGCAAAAACUUUGGUCGGUUUUCUUGCAAUGAACUGUCAAGUUUUACUAGCACCUAAAGUAUAUACAUUACAGAUCGAUGAACGUAAAAAGACUUCUAUCCUAGCAAAACUGUCACCUCUUCGUCAUCGUUACUGAAAGAAUAUAUGAUUCAAAGAGGUAUUUCAGCUAGCAGUAGCGUAUGCCACCAACCACAUGCAACAUUUUUGG